rnacentral:rRNA from 1 species
GACGAACGCUGGCGGCGUGCUUAACACAAUGCAAGUCGAGCGGUAAGGCCCUUUCGGGGGUACACGAGCGGCGAACGGGUGAGUAACACGUGGGUGACCUGCCCUCAGCUCUGGGAUAAGGCCUGGGAAACUGGGUCUAAUACUGGAUAUGACUCCACGGUGCAUGUCGUGGGGUGGAAAGCCUUGUGCGGCUGAGGAUGGGCCCGCGGCCUAUCAGCUUGUUGGUGGGGUGANGG